rnacentral:tRNA from 1 species
GGUACUUAGCUCAGAUGGUUAGAGCAGUCGGCUCAUAACUGAUUGGUCGCUGGUUCAAGUCCAGCAAGGGCCACCA